rnacentral:rRNA from 1 species
GACGAACGCUGGCGGCGUGCUUAACACAUGCAAGUCGAACGGAAAGGCCCUGCUUUUGUGGGGUGCUCGAGUGGCGAACGGGUGAGUAACACGUGAGUAACCUGCCCUUGACUUUGGGAUAACUUCAGGAAACUGGGGCUAAUACCGGAUAGGAGCUCCUGCUGCAUGGUGGGGGUUGGAAAGUUUCGGCGGUUGGGGAUGGACUCGUGGCUUAUCAGCUUGUUGGUGGGGUAGUGGCUUACCAAGGCUUUGACGGGUAGCCGGCCUGAGAGGGUGACCGGACCCAGGGGCAUGUAGCGACGCACCAGCCGCCUACGGGGGGCAGCGGGGGGUAAUAGUGCAAAGUGGAGGGAAUCCUGGUGCAGCACCGCCGCGCGCGGGGUGCCGCCCUGCGGGUGUACCGACGCUCUCGCCUGAGACGAAGUGUGAGGGACGGUAAGGGGAAAAGAAGCACCGGCUAGCCACGUCCCAGCAGCCCCGUUAAUCGAUAGCAGCACACGUCAGAAC